AUCCUCGCAUGUCGCCCCCAUCACGGAUGAGAUACAGGUCGGUUCAUUGGCAUCCCGGAGGACAGCCCGGACCAAUGCAGGACAACAUGCCAACCCACAUCACCUCCCAGUGUCAGUGGUCUCGGGCAAGGCACCUGCCGGGUAGCUGUACCACAAUUAAGACGCAAUAUCUAAAAGUUAUUUUGCUGUGGCCUCUGUCUAGUGCCCCUGUCGGACCAAUGUGGUAUUGGCUGUUCCAGUAGUAUACAUAGUCCUGCCUGCUAGUGAUAACGACCUCCUUGCCUUCUUCCCUCUUUCUCCAGAGUAUUAAAGCAGCUGUUCAUAGGAGAGGUUCCUGGGUCCGUCUUCGUGCACUGCACCUCGUAUUGUAGUGGUAAACUGCACCUCACAAUAUUGAUUGAAUCACUUGUUUGUAGUGGUUGUGCCUAUGUGUGUGCGUGGUGUGUAUGCUUUUGACUAUAGGCACCAGAGUUUAGAGCACGGUUGGUGAACUUCACGUUUAUCCCGGACAGGUAACCUACCUUGACAGCGAAUUGAUAUGGUCCUGUUACACUGCUAAUCAUAGUGUCUCUGGUAGCAGCCAAUACCAGUCCUGGUCUCUCUCUGUAGGCC
rnacentral:lncRNA from 1 species